UACAGAGGUCUCAAGCGUUGUUCGGAUUCAUUGGGCGUAAAGAGCUUGUAGGCGGUUUGUCGCGUCUGCUGUGAAAUUUCGGGGCUCAACCCCGAACUUGCAGUGGGUACGGGCAGACUAGAGUGUGGUAGGGGAGACUGGAAUUCCUGGUGUAGCGGUGAAAUGCGCAGAUAUCGUAAGGAAGACCAGUGGCGAAGGCGGGUCUCUGGACAGUUCCUGACGCUGAGGCACGAAGGCCAGGGGAGCAAACGGG
rnacentral:rRNA from 1 species